rnacentral:rRNA from 1 species
AACGAACGCUGGCGGCAUGCCUAACACAUGCAAGUCGAACGAGACCUUCGGGUCUAGUGGCGCACGGGUGCGUAACGCGUGGGAAUCUGCCCUUCGGUUGGGAAUAACUGAGAGAAAUUUCAGCUAAUACCUUAUAAUGUCUUCGGACCAAAGAUUUAUCGCCGAGGGAUGAGCCCGCGUAGGAUUAGGUAGUUGGUGGGGUAAUGGCCUACCAAGCCGACGAUCCUUAGCUGGUCUGAGAGGAUGAUCAGCCACACUGGGACUGAGACACGGCCCAGACUCCUACGGGAGGCAGCAGUGGGGAAUAUUGGACAAUGGGCGAAAGCCUGAUCCAGCAAUGCCGCGUGAGUGAUGAAGGCCUUAGGGUUGUAAAGCUCUUUUACCCGGGAUGAUAAUGACAGUACCGGGAGAAUAAGCUCCGGCUAACUCCGUGCCAGCAGCCGCCGUAAAAC